GGGAAAUGAAAGGCGGUCGGUGGUCCGUUGGCUUGGCGUUGAAUACAUGAAAAAUUUUUCAGAUGGGGUUCUUUCCGUUUCCUGCUGGGAAAACCGUUAGAUGCCAUCGUGGAUUGAUGAAUACCGUUGUACUUGAAUAAACAGGAACUCUUAACAGAAGCUUCUUUGUCAGCAGCAUCAGUUUGGGUGCCCGGUGAAGUAGCUUCAAAGAUUGCCCGUUUUUUUAAAAGUUGGCUCUCUUUUGAAGUGCUUUUCCAGGUGAAGCCCAAUUUUUAAUAUCGCCGUUUGCCUGUUGCAGACAUACCAGCUCCCUAGCUUUUGAUCUCUGCCCUUCUGCGA